GUCUUCUUAAUUUAAUAAAAAAUAUUGGUCUUGUAAACCAAAAAUCAAUGUAAUUGAGUAGACU
rnacentral:tRNA from 1 species